rnacentral:rRNA from 1 species
UACGUAGGGUGCGAGCGUUAAUCGGAAUUACUGGGCGUAAAGCGUGCGCAGGCGGUUAUGUAAGACAGAUGUGAAAUCCCCGGGCUUAACCUGGGAACUGCGCUUGUAACUGGCAAGCUGGAGUGUGGCAGAGGGGGGUGGAAUUCCACGUGUAGCAGUGAAAUGCGUAGAGAUGUGGAGGAACACCGAUGGCGAAGGCAGCCCCCUGGGCUAACACUGACGCUCAUGCACGAAAGCGUGGGGAGCAAACAGG